rnacentral:rRNA from 1 species
UACGUAGGGUGCAAGCGUUUGUCCGGAAUUACUGGGCGUAAAGCGUGCGCAGGCGGUUUUGUAAGCCAGAUGUGAAAGCCCCGGGCUUAACCUGGGAAUGGCAUUUGGGACUGCAAGGCUUGAGUGUGGCAGAGGAGACUGGAAUUCCUGGUGUAGCAGUGAAAUGCGUAGAGUAUCAGGAGGAAUACCGAUGGCGAAGGCAGGUCUCUGGGCUAACACUGACGCUCAUGCACGAAAGCGUGGGGAGCAAACAGGG